rnacentral:rRNA from 1 species
ACGAGGAUUCCCCUAGUACUGCGAGUGAAGCGGGAACAGCUCAAAUUUGAAUCUGGCCGUCCUUGGCCGUCCGAGUUGUAAUUUAGAGAAGUGUCUUCCGCGCUGUGACCGUGCACAAGUCUCCUGGAAUGGAGCGUCAUAGAGGGUGAGAAUCCCGUCUUUGGCACGGAUGCCUGGUGCUUCUGUGAUGCGCUCUCGAAGAGUCGAGUUGUUUGGGAAUGCAGCUCAAAAUGGNUGGUGAACUCCAUCUAAAGCUAAAUAUUGNCGAGAGACCGAUAGCGAACNAGUACCGUGAGGGAAANAUGAAAAGCACUUUGNAAAGAGAGUGAAACAKUACGUGAAAUUGUNGAAAGGGAAACGCUUGAAGUCAGUCRCGUCGACCGAGACUCAACCUUGACCUUGGCUCGGUGUACUUCUCGGCCCGACGGGUCAGCAUCAAUUUUGCCCCUCGGAUAAUGCGCAAGGGAAAGGUGGCACCUUUACGGGUGUGUUAUASUCUCCUSUCGCAUGCGAGGGGUGGGAUUGAGGAACUCAGCGUGCACCUUGGUGUCGGGGCUUCGGC